UGCUCUGAACAUUGCCAAAGCAUUAGAUCACUGCAGCAGCGAAGGCCGCCCAUUGUACCAUGACUUAAAUGCAUAUAUGGUUCUCUUUGAUGAGAGUUGGCUUCAUUUCAGUCCAGUCUCUAAAUAGGUCCAAUAACUCACUAAAUAGGUAAGUCGAGAAGAAUUCAGCGUUGCAACUCCUUUUUUGGUAUGCUGUUUAAAUCUGUCUGUCAUUUUAUUCAUUCGUCAUGUUUAACUUUGUUCUGAAGGCUUCCUAUGGCUAACUUAAGCAUUUUAGUUAUUCAUUUUUUAAAGAUGUUAGCUAUUUUGGAACAGUUUGAAAGUUAAUGCAUGACUCGAGGAUGACUUUUA